rnacentral:rRNA from 1 species
GCUUAGCCCUGAAAUCUAGAUGUAACUCUUACAAACACAUCCGCCAGGUACUACAAGCGCUAGCUUAAAACCCAAAGGACUUGACGGUGUCUCAGACCCACCUAGAGGAGCCUGUUCUAGAACCGAUAAUCCCCGUUUAACCUCACCACCCCUUGCUUUCCCCGCCUAUAUACCGCCGUCGCAAGCUUACCCUGUGAAGGUUUUACAGUAAGCAAAAUGGAUAUAUUCAAAAACGUCAGGUCGAGGUGUAGCUUACGAGGUGGAAAGAAAUGGGCUACAUUUUCUUUAUCAGAAUAACACGAAUGGCACCAUGAAACUGAUGCCUGAAGGUGGAUUUAGCAGUAAAAAACAAAUAGAGAGUCUUUUUGAAUUAGGCUCUGAGACGCGC